CAGUGCCGCGGUAAUACAGAGGGUGCGAGCGUUAAUCGGAUUUACUGGGCGUAAAGCGUGCGUAGGCGGCUUCUUAAGUCGGAUGUGAAAUCCCUGAGCUUAACUUAGGAAUUGCAUUCGAUACUGGGAAGCUAGAGUAUGGGAGAGGAUGGUAGAAUUCCAGGUGUAGCGGUGAAAUGCGUAGAGAUCUGGAGGAAUACCGAUGGCGAAGGCAGCCAUCUGGCCUAAUACUGACGCUGAGGUACGAAAGCAUGGGGAGCAAACAGGAUUAGAUACCCCAGUAGUCCCUGUCUCUUAUACA
rnacentral:rRNA from 1 species